GAUGAACGCUGGCGGCGUGCCUAAUACAUGCAAGUCGAGCGAACGGACGAGAAGCUUGCUUCUCUGAUGUUAGCGGCGGACGGGUGAGUAACACGUGGAUAACCUACCUAUAAGACUGGGAUAACUUCGGGAAACCGGAGCUAAUACCGGAUAAUAUUUUGAACCGCAUGGUUCAAAAGUGAAAGACGGUCUUGCUGUCACUUAUAGAUGGAUCCGCGCUGCAUUAGAUAGUUGGUAAGGUAACGGCUUACCAAGGCAACGAUGCAUAGCCGACCUGAGAGGGUGAUCGCCCACACUGGAACUGAGACACGGUCCAGACUCCUACGGGAGGCAGCAGUAGGGAAUCUUCCGCAAUGGGCGAAAGCCUGACGGAGCAACGCCGCGUGAGUGAUGAAGGUCUUCGGAUCGUAAAACUCUGUUAUUAGGGAAGAACAUAUGUGUAAGUAACUGUGCACAUCUUGACGGUACCUAAUCAGAAAGCCACGGCUAACUACGUG
rnacentral:rRNA from 1 species